rfam:Anas platyrhynchos breed Pekin duck contig51730, whole genome shotgun sequence.
UGACUCUGGUUUCUCUUCAGAUUGUAUAAAUCUUUUGCAUUUUACUAAAGAUUUCCGUGGAGAGGAACAAGCCUUUUUUUCUGGUAUCAAGGCCACUUGAGGCAGCCCUUGUGAGGGAG